rnacentral:rRNA from 1 species
UACAGAGGUCUCAAGCGUUGUUCGGAUUCAUUGGGCGUAAAGGGUGCGUAGGCGGCGCGGUAAGUCGGGUGUGAAAUCCUUCGGCUCAACCGAAGAACGUCGGCCGAUACUGCCGUUCUUGAGGGAUGCAGAGGAGAUUGGAAUUCCCGGUGUAGCGGUGAAAUGUGUAGAGAUCGGGAGGAACACCGGUGGCGAAGGCGGGUCUCUGGGCAUGUUCUGACGCUGAGGAGCGAAAGUGUGGGGAGCGAACAGG